UAAAAAAGAUUUAAUAAAAAGAAAAAAAAAUUGGCCAAGAUUAUCCUCUCACCUCCCCCUCCUCUUCCAUCCAUGUAAUUCGAACCAUUCAGACUCUAAGACUAUAACCAAAAUUUUAAGUCCACGUUGCCUUUGCGCUCACUCUAUAUAUAGAGCACUAUCUAUUCUUUGAAAUCGUACAUAGCUCUAGCUUUCUAUAAUUUUUUCUUUAAGAUGUCUUACUUUAAGAAGCUUAUGUUGAAUAUGGUUUUGUUGUUUGUGCUUCUUAUAACAAUUGAAUUGGCAUCUGCAAGGGCACCCCUUUGGGUUUCUGAGCCUCGUCUCAAAGCAUAUGGACGCAGACUGAUGGAUGAUGAUGGAAGAAACCACCAUUAUCAUAAUCAUCCCUGAAUCCAGAUGGACCCUUAAUUGAGGAACCAAGGCUCAAUUAUAUGCUGCCAAUUCAAAUGUUAGAUAAUAAUCUAUUGAAUUUUUGUUAUUGAGCAUUUUACAUUUCUAUAUUAGUAAUCUUGUUAUUUUAAUUUGGUUUGUUAUAUAUUUUACUUGUAAUGUAUACUUUCAUAAAUUAUACUAUUGAUAUUGAUAUUGAUAUUAUUA